CAAUCAAACCGGGAGAUAGCUGGUUCUCCCCGAAAGCUAUUUAGGUAGCGCCUCGUGAAUUCAUCUCCGGGGGUAGAGCACUGUUUCGGCUAGGGGGCCAUCCCGGCUUACCAACCCGAUGCAAACUGCGAAUACCGGAGAAUGUUAUCACGGGAGACACACGGCGGGUGCUAACGUCCGUCGUGAAGAGGGAAACAACCCAGACCGCCAGCUAAGGUCCCAAAGUCAUGGUUAAGUGGGAAACGAUGUGGGAAGGCCCAGACAGCCAGGAUGUUGGCUUAGAAGCAGCCAUCAUUUAAAGAAAGCGUAAUAGCUCACUGGUCGAGUCGGCCUGCGCGGAAGAUGUAACGGGGCUAAACCAUGCACCGAAGCUGCGGCAGCGAACGUAUCACCCAAGACAACUUUACGGAGUUGACGAUUGACGGAGCGAAGCGACGUCAAAGCGUUCAUUAAAGUCGAGUUGGCUUAGGGAUACGUUCGUUGGGUAGGGGAGCGUUCUGUAAGCCUGUGAAGGUGUGUCGUGAGGCAUGCU
rnacentral:rRNA from 1 species